GAUGAACGCUGGCGGCGUGCCUAAUACAUGCAAGUCGAGCGAACAGACGAGGAGCUUGCUCCUCUGACGUUAGCGGCGGACGGGUGAGUAACACGUGGAUAACCUACCUAUAAGACUGGGAUAACUUCGGGAAACCGGAGCUAAUACCGGAUAAUAUAUUGAACCGCAUGGUUCAAUAGUGAAAGACGGUUUUGCUGUCACUUAUAGAUGGAUCCGCGCCGCAUUAGCUAGUUGGUAAGGUAACGGCUUACCAAGGCAACGAUGCAUAGCCGACCUGAGAGGGUGAUCGGCCACACUGGAACUGAGAAACGGUCCAGACUCCUACGGGAGGCAGCAGUAGGGAAUCUUCCGCAAUGGGCGAAAGCCUGACGGAGCAACGCCGCGUGAGUGAUGAAGGUCUUCGGAUCGUAAAACUCUGUUAUUAGGGAAGAACAAAUGUGUAAGUAACUAUGCACGUCUUGACGGUACCUAAUCAGAAAGCAACGGCUAACUACGUG
rnacentral:rRNA from 1 species